UACGGAGGGAGCUAGCGUUGUUCGGAAUUACUGGGCGUAAAGCGCGCGUAGGCGGCUUUGUAAGUUAGAGGUGAAAGCCCGGAGCUCAACUCCGGAACUGCCUUUAAAACUGCAUCGCUUGAUCCAGGAGAGGUGAGUGGAAUUCCGAGUGUAGAGGUGAAAUUCGUAGAUAUUCGGAAGAACACCAGUGGCGAAGGCGGCUCACUGGCCCGGUACUGACGCUGAGGCGCGAAAGCGUGGGGAGCAAACAGG
rnacentral:rRNA from 1 species